rnacentral:rRNA from 1 species
UACGUAGGGGGCAAGCGUUGUCCGGAAUUAUUGGGCGUAAAGAGCGUGUAGGCGGUCCGGUAAGUCAGCUGUGAAAGUCAAGGGCUCAACCCUUGAAAGCCGGUUGAUACUGUCGGGCUAGAGUCCGGAAGAGGCGAGUGGAAUUCCCGGUGUAGCGGUGAAAUGCGCAGAUAUCGGGAGGAACACCGAUGGCGAAGGCAGGUCUCUGGGCCAUUACUGACACUGAGAAGCGAAAGCAUGGGGAGCGAACAGG